GACGAACGCUGGCGGCGUGCUUAACACAUGCAAGUCGAACGGAAAGGCCCUUCUUUUGUUGGGUGCUCGGGUGGCGAGCGGGUGAGUUGCACGUCAGUAACCUGCCCUUCACUUUUGUUUUACUUCACGGAACUGGGGCUAGUCCCGGAUAGGAUCUCCUGCUGCUUUGUCGUGGUUGGUCUGUUUCGGCGGUUGGUUCUGGGCUCGCGGCUGAUCAGCCUGUUGGUGGGGUAGUUGCGUACAAAGGCUUUGACGGGUAGCCGGCCUGAGCGGGUGACCGGCAACAUUGAGACUGAGAUACGGGCCAGAAGUCGACGGGAGGGAACAGUGGGGAAUAUUGCAAAAUGGGGGGGAGCCUGAUGCAGCAACGCCGCGUGCGGGAUGAAGGCCUUCGGGUUGUAAACCGCUUUCGCCUGGGAUGAAGCGGGAGUGACGGUAAUGGGUAAAGAAGCACCGGCUAACUACGUG
rnacentral:rRNA from 1 species